GACCUACCAUAAUCCCUCUCAUUCCCACCAUUCAGCUGCCCUUAAAUCCCAAAUUCUCUUCAAACUCUCUCAAGGUUCUGCUGAACCCUAGCCGCCUCCUACCUUAUUCCAUCAUGCUUUUACCGGGAUCCAUGGCUUCUCAGGCCAUGGACGGCCUGAACUCACCUCCCUUCACCCUUAACCAUGGUUGCUAGAAGGCUCGAGGUCUGACCUCAAUGGUACUCUCUUAGACCUUCACCGAUUCCAAGAUUCUGGUCAUCUCCGGCCUUGCUCCGGUGGCUCUUGGUCUUCUAAGACUGUUUCUGACCUCAUCCGACUUAGAUCGGACUUUACCAAGCCUUUCUCGUUUAGGGUUCUUCUGAAACCCUAAUUACUCGAGGUUCUUUCUGAUUAUUUUUUUGAUCUGUUAUAUGUUUGCACUUUGUUUAAGUUUAUUAAACAUUUCCUCCGAUUUUCUUUCAAAAGUGACUUCUUUUCGAUUAGGAUUUCUGGAAAAAGGUUCUUAAAAAUGUUUCUGACUCUUCUUCUUCUUCUUCUUUUCUUGGUGUGAAUCGAUUCAUGUUAUGUUCUUAUUUGAUCUCUUCUGACUCGCAUGCUUUUUCGUGUGUUCUCUUGUUUGUUGUAUUAUGAAGUUUUCUAUUGUGCUCCGUUCUGUCUUCUACUGGUUUCAAUAUCAUGCUCUCACAUGCCUAUCUUAUGUGUUCCUUUACUGUAUUUUUUUAUCGAGUUUUAAUCCUUUGGUUGCCUUUAUUGGACUUUGUCUGAGUUCUUUCUAAAUAUGUAUCAUCAAUUAUUUCCUUAUGUUUACACUACCACUUUAUUCCCUGGACUUAUUAAGUUCUAAGCUUUUCUUAAACGUGUUCCCCAUACUUUAAAUCAGUUUCUACAUUCUAUACGCUCUGAACCUGUUAUUGUGUUUGUAUGUUUUCUCAUAAGACUCUUAAAGAGGUCUUAUUGUCUUGUUUCAAUGGCUUGUCUUCUCAUCUCUAUAUCAUAUUCGAGUAAACCCCUAGGAUUUAAGGGUUUCUUUGGCAAGUCUGGUUUUGUGUUUGAAUAGGGUUCCACUUUGAAACCCUGAAUUCUCAGACUCACUCGUUGUGAUUUUUGAAACUUUCUUGCUAGUCUUUCCUAAUUAGCAUGGCAUCUUUCUUGCUUGACAUGCCUAUGUGUUUUAUAUAUGAGAAGUUUUCUUUUAAAAGGGUUUUGCCAACUGUUAAUUGAUUCUAAAUCCCUUUAAUGUUGCUUACUUGAUUGUUGCUGAUAUUCCCCUAAAAUAAACUUUCCUUUACCUCCUUUCUGACUCGUUUCAUUUAACAAAGCUUUCAGCUUGAUUCUUUUACUGGUUGUUUUACUGAUUCCCUUUCUUGUUUUUCACAAAUUAAGUACCGUUAGACUUUUACCUUAAAUAUUUUUUAUGUUUUUACCCUUUAUUGCAUUGCUUGUAAAAAUAUUCCGAUUGACCCUUUCCUUAAUUAUAUUUACCCGCUGGAAAUCAGAGUCCCUUAAUUAAAGGGAAAUUGAUUUUAAGGUUAUUUUCCUACCUUUUCAUACUUACUUGUUGCACUAUUAUAAUGUCCUUCCUUUCUAUUCUUUCAUCCAUCAUCAUUCACUGAUUUUUGAAUCACAAACUCUUUUGCACACUUUACUCUCUUCUGAGAUAUUUUGCAUUGUCUGCUCGCAAUUUGUCUUACAAAAACUUCUGCUUUCAAUUAUUUUCCUGAAACUGAUAUGUCCUACUUUUGAUUCUAGCAUCAACUCCAAUGUAUUUACAUACAAGCUCUUAUGCCCAUGUCUACUUUACUGCUUUGUAGAGCUUAACUUUAAAGUAUUUGCUUACGUCUUGCUAUCUGCUGCUGCAAUGAAACCCUAUUCCUCAUUCCCCUUUAUGUGCUUGAGCUAUCGUUUAAGAAAUGGCAAUGUACAAAGUUAUUAUCAUGAGUUAAAACAAGGUCCUUUGGAUCCUAGCCUCUUUUAAUUCCCAUACCUCAUUCCCUUAUGUGUGUUAAGUUAAGGUAUAGCAUGGCAGCAUUCAAAUUGUUGUCCAAGGCUGAACCUGACCUUUAAUAUGUCAUAACUCUCUAAUCUUUAGCUGACAGGCUGGUCAGGGGUGUGCCAGCAUUCUAAUUGCUGAGCAUGACCACCAUCCUGCCUUGGCAUUCCCUAACUACCCUCUAUUGCAUUUACACUUACUCAUAGAUUCUAAGUUCUGCCCCCCCCCCCUCCUAUGAGCCUUGCCUUGGGAUAUUUGAGUUCCUUUUGAACUUGGACAUUUGAGGGCUGGCUUUUUCACACUGCACUUUAAUUCAUUUGUGCAAUGAUAUUUGGGGUGUAAGCAUCGCGUGGAGUUCUUAAAAUUCCUUGGAACUUCGACACAUCCCCAGAUAAGAGACAGGCUUUGGAACCUGAUCUUUGGAAGUUGGUUUAUUACAUAUGUCUGGCUAGGAGUCUGAAUUAGGCUCUCCUCGGUUGGAAUUCUGAUUUCGGAUGAAUUUUUAUUUAUUUUUAUUAAUUUUUAUCUGUAAUAAUCUUGUAAUAACAUUUGGGGUCGGCUAGUGAAAAAGGGAGGAUAUGCAUGCAAGGAGUAGAUAUCAUGACUAUAGGAAAAUACUAUUUCUGAGAUUCUGAUAAUUUCUGAAAUUCUGCAUCUCACCUAGAAACCAUGCCUAUAGGAAUUAUUAUUUCUAAACUUCUGUAUCUUAUAUAAAUCACUGAAACUCUACAUUCUCAUAUAGAUACAAUGUCCAUAGGAUUCUCUGCAUUCUCAUAUAGUACUAUGUCUAUAGAGUUUUCUGCAAUUUCAUAAUAGAUACCAUGACUAUAGGACUUUCUGUAUUAUGUAUCUGUCAUUAGGCAAACCUAUUAUAGGAUUUAGGUAACUAACCAAUUGCAUAUAGACAACCUAUCUAUAGGACUUCUGCAUAAGCGAUAGCAAUGUUUAAAAUCAGUAGCACCUAGAAAGCAUGCCUAUAGGAGCUGUUAACUAAACUUGAAUCGCCAUCUCAUCUAAAAUCUGUAGCGGUAAUGUCUAAACACCUACAUAACUUAUGCCUUCAUAACCAACAAAAUCUUUUCUACAAUCAGUUUACUCUCUUUGUUUUUUCUGAAAUUGAUAGAUAUCAUGCCAUAUGUUCUGUUUAAUACCUAGGCAAGCUUUAGAGUAAAAUUUUAUAACUGCAUCAGUCUUUAAUAAUUACAACCAGCAGGCAGGCCUAAUUCUGACUUCUUAUAUGAAAAUAUAUGAUAAAUCAGCCUGCCUUGAUGCUUCAGUUUAAUUCACACCUAAUCAGUACAUGUAAGACAUGCUAAACUAUAUGUCUUUUUCUGAUUUGAGGAGGUAUAUUUGAGCCCGUAACUGUUAUGUGUUACCAUAAUUGUCUUAUCUGCUUUUGUUUGUCGCACUAGACUUUUAACCUUUUAAAACUCUGAAAAUCCCAAAACUCCCCCUCCCCAUUUUAGGAUUAGUAGUCCCAAACGCCUCCGUAACUGACAGGAUUGUGACGGGUAGUAGCAUGCAAUAAGUCACGAUGCUAUUCCGUGCUUUAAUACCUUAAUGUGGUGGUGAUUGUAGAAUAUGGAUAUGAUGACCGGUGUGGUAAUAUCACGUGCGACCCCUCUUCCGAGGAGUGAUUGUUGAAUAUUGCAUUGAUGUGAUCCAUAUUAACCAUAAACCUAGGACCCCUCUUCUUUUAUUUGCUUUCAUCUCUUUUUGUAAAACUCUUUAAAUCUUUUUCAUAAAAUUCUUCCCUCUCUACUUACUUCAGAAGUUUCAACUUAUUUAGAAUGUUAGUGCAAGUCCUUAUUUGAGCCUUAAUUGCUUACGUGUUUAUAUAAAGUCACAAUUGUAACAUGGCCGGGAACCACACUUGUGGAUCUUGAGGGGUGCCUAAUACCUUCCCCUCGGGAUAAUUUCUAGCCCUUACACAAAUCUCUGGUUUCUAAAUCAAGACCUUCUUAGUGUCAUAAUGCACUUAAUCAUUAGGUGGCGAUUCUUCAAUGCUA
rnacentral:lncRNA from 1 species